rnacentral:siRNA from 1 species
UGAAACGUAUCGGUACGACCCAUA